rnacentral:lncRNA from 1 species
UGAUGGCAGUGAUGAUAGCCUCUAUUGAUGGAUGCUUCUACAACAUCUACUGAUGGAUGUUAGGUGAUAUGGCAUUUACUGAUGGAUGCCAAUGAAGAUUAGAAAGAUUAGCAUUUACCGAUGAAUGCUACCGGGAUAGCAUCUACUAGGGGAUGUUAGAAGAUAUAGGUAUCCACUAAAGGAUAUCCGGAAGGUACACCUACUGAUGGGUGGUGGAAGGUAGUGCACUUAUUGACAAGGGCUAACCAGGUUUGGGUCAGGCUCGU